GACGAACGCUGGCGGCGUGCCUAAUACAUGCAAGUUGAGCGCUGAAGGUUGGUACUUGUACCCACUGGAUGAGCAGCGAACGGGUGAGUAACGCGUGGGGAAUCUGCCUUUGAGCGGGGGACAACAUUUGGAAACGAAUGCUAAUACCGCAUAAAAACUUUAAACACAAGUUUUAAGUUUGAAAGAUGCAAUUGCAUCACUCAAAGAUGAUCCCGCGUUGUAUUAGCUAGUUGGUGAGGUAAAGGCUCACCAAGGCGAUGAUACAUAGCCGACCUGAGAGGGGGAUCGGCAAAGUUGGGAAUGAGACACGGCCAAAACGCCUACGGGAGGCGGAAGUAGGGAAUAUUGGGAAAUGGACGAAAGUCUGACCGAGCAACGCCGAGUGAGUGAGGAAGGUUUUCGGAUCGUAAAACUCGGUUGGUAGAAAAGAACGUUGGUGAGAGUGGAAAGCUCAUCAAGUGACGGUAACUACCCAGAAAGGGACGGCAAACUACGUG
rnacentral:rRNA from 1 species